rnacentral:rRNA from 1 species
CCUACGGGCGGCAGCAGUGGGGAAUCUUGCGCAAUGGGCGAAAGCCUGACGCAGCAACGCCGCGUGUGUGAUGAAGGUCUUCGGAUCGUAAAGCACUGUCGCGAGGGAAGAGAAGCCCAGGGUGAACAAUCCUGGGAUAGGACGGUACCUCGAGAGGAAGCACCGGCUAACUCUGUGCCAGCAGCCGCGGUAAUACAGAGGGUGCGAGCGUUGUUCGGAAUUAUUGGGCGUAAAGCGCUUGUAGGCGGUCGUUUAAGUCUCAUGUGAAAGCCCCAGGCUUAACUUGGGAAGUGCAUGAGAUACUGGACGACUUGAAUGCCGGAGAGGGUCGCGGAAUUCCGGGUGUAGAGGCGAAAUUCGUAGAUAUCGGGAGGAACACCAGUGGCGAAGGCGGCUACCUGGACGGACAUUGACGCUGAGACGCGAAAGCGUGGGUAGCAAACAGGAUUAGAUACCCGAGUAGUC